GUCUACUGUCUGCAGGGAGGCGCUAAACGUUCCUCACAGAGAUGCAUUGAUACAACGCAUUUCUAUGAGGAGAUGCUGAUUGGCUCAGCCGCUCUUGUGCAGUAUUAUCCCAAUACUUUCCUGUGGCUGUGAUCAUCAAGUUCACCUUUCAUUUAGUUGACAACGGGCUGAGGGCCUAAAAUGUGUUUUUAUUAGACACGUGCAAUUCGUUUC